rfam:Octopus bimaculoides Scaffold7328_contig_45, whole genome shotgun sequence.
AUAUUGCUUCAAAAAUACAUAUAGUAAGAUUGGAAUGGUACAGAGAUUAGCAAGGCCCCUGUGCAAGGAUGACAUGCAAAUUCGUGAAGCAUUUCAUUUUUUU